GUGGCGGUGGGGAAGGGGACAGGUUACAGGAGAUAGGUUGGGUGAUAACUAAUACCCCAGAAAGCCUCGGUGAGCCCUCAUCAUGGGCUAGCUCUCUUCCACCGAUGGCAGAGCCAGGACAUGUUGUUUCCUUUACUGCUGCCCUUUGACAGAGCCGAGAGGAACUGAGCAGUCCCCUGGCCGUGGAGGCAGCUUCCUCCUUGUCUGUCACGUGGAACUUGGCUCCUGUCCUUCACAGCCUUGGGUCACACAGCUACGUCGCCUGAUCGGAGACAAGCCAGGAACAGCAUGGGCUCGGGGGCCAGCAUGCUGAGAGCCUUCCUCCUUCUCCUGGAUAUUGGAGGAGCUCAAGUAUUAGCAACGGGCAAGUCUGCUGGGGCAGAAAUUGACAUCAAGUACGCCGUCAUCGGGGCGGCUCUAGGUGGAGCCAUAGCGGCCGUCUUCCUGGCCCUGAAGGUCUGCAUGAUCAAGAAGCAUUUGUUUGACAUCGACUCCUCCAACUUGAGAAGCACAACCCCGGGCUUCAGGGACACUGUCACUCUGAAGAAGAGAGUCCCAAGGUCAAAGCUCCAUUUCUCCGAGAGAGAUGCAGAAGUGAUUGAGCUCUAAAUAAGUGACCUCUUCAGGAGAGGUUGGGCAGUCUGGGACAAUUUCCCACAGUUUCAGCCUCAGGGAUGUCAUGAAUUUGAACUUCCAAAGAUGGACCUUCAUGUGGAGCUCAAUACUCAGAGCAAGUAAUAUAUGGAAUGAAGUCUACAGUGUUUCUGUCCUAAAGGAAAAUAUCAAUUCUCUUCCACAAGAAGCUGACUACAUAGAUGGAGGCACAAGCACUUUAUCCUGCAGUAAGAAAGGAUGGAAGCCAAUAAAUCCACAGUCUAUCCUGGUCCUCCAUAGUGGAGCUGUUUAUGAUUCUAUGGUAGCAUUGUAUCCAUAUCAAUGGAACCCAUAGCAAAUGGCUCAUGGAAUGGAGAUGAAAGUCAAGACACAACCUCCUUAACACUAUUGUCUAUCAACAGUUACAAGAAGCAACAGAAAAUGAACUCAAAAGAGAGUACUUCUUUACUCCUCAAAUGGUCAGACAUCUUCUGGCACUUUCUCUGCAGCGUUGGCACAAGGCUGAAGUCAUCAAUGAUUCCUGGAAUAGAUCUUCACCAGGAGAGACUCCUCACUGUGGAGCCCACCCUGUGCCUGGUCAACAGCAUCUAGGGCAGCUCUCUGCUUUGCUCCCUUCCUUUGGGUGUUAAGUCUGAUCGUAGGAGUUCUUUGUGGGGCAGCAGCAAAGUGGCUGGUACUGCUUCAAGGGGCCCUAUUUUCUAGCGUGAAGAGAACACCGCCUGCUUAAAACAUUUCCUAUAGCAGCUGGGCCACAGAAAUGUCAUGACUGAUGCACCACCCCGGCAACGUCAGGCUCGUUGGCCAAGUGGACAGGCAGUUUCUGGAUACUCAUGGGCUCUGGGGUGAAUAACCCGACUCCCCCCAUCAUGGAGAUUGUGGCACAAGCCAGCUUCUGGACUUAUAAGUGAAGAGAAAGGAGAAGUGGCAUCCCUGCUUCCUGCCGUGCCUGUGGCUCCUUUACUUCCUGUCAGCCUCUUCCUGGCUGAGAAAACCGAGGCUGGGAAGAGGACAUUUUAGAAUAAAAGUUAACACUCCAGGCCUUCUUGAUGAGGUUUAGGGCUUACAUGCAAUGUGUGAAAUGAGUUGGCUAAGACUCAGAGCUCCAAGAAAAUGCUGUGUUGGUCCUUUUGGGGUUUUGCACACCAUCCCUGCUGGCUCAGGCAGUGGAGCACAGAAGUUCUUGGCAAGGCUGGAGAACCAGCUGGAAAACUUCAGGGCCUGGGACACAGUGGGCUGGGCAGGCCUGGGUCUUAACCAUUUUUCCCUUCUUUCCCCUGAGGGAGGGCAAGAACCCUGUAUGGGUGGCCUUACUUAGCUAAGUAUCUGCCUGGAGCAAGGAGAGGGCCUGGGAAAGAGGGCCUUCCUGUGGACAGAAGCAACCCAGAGACCACGUGGGGGUGAAGGCUAUUGGCACACCUUUGGGGGGCUUUGCUCUAAGCCACCUGCUAGGAAGUGGCCCCUCAGGAAAUAGCCUUAAGGCAGUAUGGCAGGUGCACCUGGAUGGCUCAGUCGGUGAAGCAUCUUGCCUUCGGCUCAGGUCAUGAUUCCAGAUCCUGGGAUAGAAGAACCCCAUGUCAGGCUCCCUGCUCAGCGGGGAGCCUGCUUCGCCUUCUCCC